CCGGUAACCAAUGGAGGGACUGACAGAGCGGAUCAGCAGAUGAAGAACGUCUAGCGGGAAGAUUAGCCUUGCAGCUGCAUUCAAAAUGGAUUGUAGAGAUAUUAGAAGGCAUCUCAGAAUUUGGUAGCUUGUCACAUAACUCAUUGGCGGGAUCUCCACAUAGACACAUUAUCUUGGCCCUGACAUAAUCUACGGAGAAGCAGAAUAUAAAAAGAUACCCCAAAACAACUUUGAACUGAAAUGUCCUUUAUAUGAGAGAGCAAUGCCUGUUAUAUCCUUACCUGAGC